rnacentral:rRNA from 1 species
UACGUAGGGUGCAAGCGUUAAUCGGAAUUACUGGGCGUAAAGCGCGUGUAGGCGGCUUUGCAAGUCGGGUGUGAAAGCCCUCAGCUCAACUGAGGAAGUGCGCCCGAAACUGCAGAGCUUGAGUGCCGGAGAGGGUGGCGGAAUUCCCCAAGUAGAGGUGAAAUUCGUAGAUAUGGGGAGGAACACCGGUGGCGAAGGCGGCCACCUGGACGGUAACUGACGCUGAGACGCGAAAGCGUGGGGAGCAAACAGG